rnacentral:tRNA from 1 species
GCCGAAGUGGCGGAACGGUAGACGCGGAGGUCUCAAAAACCUUUGGGGGCAACCUCGUGGGGGUUCGAGUCCCCCCUUCGGCACCA